rnacentral:lncRNA from 1 species
CAGUGGUACCACUGACCUACAGAAGGACAUCAUGGCAGAGCAGGAGGCUGUUUAAAAAUUGAGCCAGGAGGGAACUUUUUUCCAUCUGCCUUCAAUAAUGUGAAUGAGUUUAAUGCUAAGAGCCCUGAAACAGGCCUGGUUUACCUGGUAUGGUUGCAGAAUUCCUUCAUCAACUGGGCAGUCAGACCUCUGCUGUGCUGAUUGAGACUGUCUCCACCUUCUCUGCCCUCACAAACAGCAGUUCAUCACUUGGUCCUCAGAACCUCCUUCCAGCAGGGGCUGUAUAUUUCUUGAUGGAAAGUUGGAGGCAGGGUUAGAAGUAAAGGGGAAGUGAGUGGCAUAUCAAAACUGGUCUGUUUCAGUCCCUAAAAUGGGGGGUUAUGGAGGGUGGGAGUCCUGAGGUGAGCAGAAAAGAAAGGUGCUGCUUUAUUUGAAAUGUUUUCUUACCUCAUUCUGUGCCCCAGUAAAGGGUCCAGCCUCAUCUGUCUGGCUUGGCCAUGUUCCUGUCACUGCUCCACUGCCUCUCUGGUGCAGCUCAUGAUUCCAGGUGCUGCUUGCCACACUAGGUUUUCUCUCGACCAAUUUCAGCUCAUCUUCCAGUGCUGCUCCUCCGAAGCCUACACAAGUUUCCUUUUUCCUUUUGUUGUCGUUUUCGUUUUCUAACUUUAAAUUUUUAUGUUGUUUUGUUUUACCUGUUUUUAUGGAAGCCUUAGAGGAGAAUCUCUCAUGGCUCCCUCUGUUUGGAUUGGAAUGGGAAAAUAACAAAAAAAAAAAAAAAAAAAAAAAACAACCUUUUUUUAAAUUUACAAGGCAGUGUCAUGUCUAAGUGUUUCUCUUAUAUAAGGCUGCCUUGCUAGUAUAUCUCCCUGCCUGUCAUGAGUUCUUUCUUCCCAUUGCUACUUGGAUACGGCCUCUUAGGACUUACUGCAGAGCCAGGAAUGCUGGCAUACACAAGGAAGGAGUUGGUUCUGCUCCACAUUUCUAAUCCUAUUGUGUAUGUAUCUUCCUUCUCCCAGGAGCUAUUUGAAGUGUGUGGACUAAUUUGGAUUAUACUCAAAGAGUUGAGGCAAUUAUAGUGCUUGAGCCUUGAGACUGUCUGUUGUUGCCUUCUCAGAGUUUUGCAGCUCAGGGUUGGGGCCUAGUUACAGUUUGGAUCCUUAGUCCAAGAAUUUUGAGAACGUGAGUAAAACCUUGGCAGGAGCUAAAAAAUACUUAAAAGAUACCUUGCUACAUGAGUUCUUUAAAAACCUUCAGUGAAUUGUGGAAAAACAAAAAAGCAGUGUGAGAUUCCUGCUUAUAUAAAGUACUUGGGAAACAUGAAAGGGAGAAAGGCCAUGGCCCACUCACUCUUGCCUUCAGAUAGGGAGCUCAAAUGUGACUUUAGUUUUCUUGCCUUUUCUGGUUAGAACAUAAAGAUGUGGGUAGUAGUUUGGGGUAAUGGGUUUGCUCAUAUUACUUCCCUUCUUGUUACUGCUUUUGUUUUCUGUCUCCAACAUUUUCAUUAGGGCUGUAGCUCCCCACUCUGUGUAGAUAAAAGGUGGGUUCAGUCCAGCUAUUAUUGCCCUGAGGGAACAAACUACUUUUUUGGGAGCAAAUGUUCUCCAGCAUAUAGUUGACAGUGGUUAGGAGCCCUCCCCUUCCCCUGCCCUCCUGUAACAGCAGAAUCCUAUCCUUCCUCUUCUGUUCAUUGUAUUGACCAACCAGUAAUCCUAUUAUGUAUCUGAGUGUGUGUAUAGGGGGAAGGGGUUCUUUACAUUUUCUGUGGUUUGUGCUUUUUUCUUCAGUAAAUUAGUUCCCACCAUCGCAUGCCCAGGGGCCACUACCUGGCAUUAUCGCAUGCUGGGAUCAUUGGGGGAGGGUAGUUUGAAAUUCACCACUGUCCUUUGUUUUGGAGAUUCUUAUUUUUUAAUAAGUAAUCCGUCCUAUACAAAUAGCUAAUUAACUCUUGUGUUCCCCCUGCCCAUAUGGCUGCUGGUGUAAAUAAAUUGCAUUUUCCCAUUGCUAAAUGAUAAUAAAAUUU